rnacentral:rRNA from 1 species
AAGACCUUGCGCUUUUGGAGCGGCCGAUGCCUGAUUAGCUAGUUGGUGGGGUAAUGGCCUACCAAAGCUUCGAUCAGUAGCUGGUCUGAGAGGACGGCCAGCCACACUGGGACUGAGACACGGCCCAGACUCCUACGGGAGGCAGCAGUGGGGAAUUUUGGACAAUGGGCGCAAGCCUGAUCCAGCCAUGCCGCGUGAGUGAAGAAGGCCUUCGGGUUGUAAAGCUCUUUCAGCCGGGAAGAAAAGGUUGCGAUUAAUAAUCGCAAUUUAUGACGGUACCGGAAGAAGGAGCACCGGCUAACUACGUGCCAGCAGCCGCGGUAAUACGUAGGGUGCGAGCGUUAAUCGGAAUUACUGGGCGUAAAGGGUGCGCAGGCGGUUUUGUAAGUCAGAUGUGAAAUCCCCGGGCUUAACCUGGGAACU